GUGCAUCCUUAUAAACCCCCCAGUUGCUAUUCCUAGCCUCUGGGACAAGAAAGGAUGCAAAAACAAACUUAGAAUUGUCCAAAGCUAAGGGCUUUGUUCCAGUGGCUCUUGGCUAUUUCACUUCUUAAACAUUU